rnacentral:snoRNA from 1 species
UGUGCACACUUUUAAAGCCGGGCACUGACGUCGGUGUUCAGGUGUCGGAGGUGUGCGAGAGUAAGCAGGCCGGGUUUUCGCUGACACCAUGAGGACAGCAGUCCCAUGACUGGGGUUUGAAUGUUGACCUGAUCCACAGAU